rnacentral:lncRNA from 1 species
ACAGAAGACGAAGAGCUGGAAUAGAGCUCGCCUCGGCUCUGCUGGCCUUGGCUGCAGCUCUUCCAGAAACCCGGGGCGCCCACAGAAGAAUCUCUUACCUGGCUCUCUCUUCAGGGAUGACAUCAUCGGCUCACACCAGUCUUCCAGGACCACCUUCUGGAUGCCAAGGCUGCUGCUCGAGUACCUGCUGUGCACCUCUACCUCCUGGUACCCCAGCCACUCCCUCAAGUUGCCUGCAUGUUAUAUGGCCUAGCCAAGGAGCACGGAUUCCAGGAACCCACUACCAUACAGAGCAACUCCUUGUGGACCCCCCUGGGAUCAGGACAGCGAGGGACAAGCGACAAAGAGGAUCAUCAGUGGCCAGCUAGUUUCUCUGGGGUUCAAACCUUGAACCAGUGCCCUAGUGAGGGGGCACUGGCCAUGGCCCUUGACCUUUGCUCUGCUUGUGUCUUGAGUCUGAGCCCUUUCCUGUACAUCUGUGCUCGUGUUCAUCUGCUAGUGAACUGGAGUGCUGCCCUCCCCGAGGAGGGUCGUCCCUUGUGACUGAUCAUGCUGUCCUAACAAUGUCCUGAGCAAAAGGGUCCCUUUGGGAACCUCUCAGGAGGGGGACCCGGGUCAGGGGCGACCAGCAUCUUGCUGGCAACUCCGUGGGUGGGGUGGGGUGGGGUGCUUCCUUCUGGAAUGAGCACGUGGCUGACCCCCCAAGGCAUGUCCCCUCCCCCUCCUCCACCCACCUUCUCGGAGAUGUCCCUUUUGGGGUAGUGGGGACAUUAGGAGCAACCUCCUAGGGUUGUUGUGAGAAUUAAAUGAACUGCAGCAGCCUGAGGCAGGGCUGGGCAGAGACCUCAGCACAUGUUUGUUGAAAGGUUUGCAGGUGGAUCUAGUCCUCCCGUUCAUGGCUCAUGUGUCUCAACCAUUCUCUCGCAGACUCCUGCAGCCCCUAUGCCCAGGGCUCUCCUUGCGCCAGCCCCGGCUUCUCGAGGCCUGUCUACACUCGCUGCUUUCCUUCCUCACCUCCAAUUUCCCCUCCAACCCACUGCUUCCUGACUCGCUCUUCUCCAUCGAACGGCUCUCGCUCAGGCCUGUCGCGUCUUCCUGUGCCAUUUGCUGUUGUGCUCAGGUUCCACGAGCUGCCCAUCUCCACAGAAGAGCAGCUGGCAUUGCCCACCGGCCAUGCCGGCUGAAGAAAAGAAGACUGAGGACCCCAGGAUGCCCAGCGCGAGGACCCCAGGAAGCCCAGCGCGAGGACUCCACCCACGACGCCCAGCGCGAGGACUUCACGCACAACACGUUGCAACCCUCCUGGAUUAGGCCAAAGCCAUCAUCUGGAAUCCUGCGUGGGACCCUGGACACACGGACACAGACACCUGCCCCCAGGACCCUCCAACUGUAAAUCGUAACCUCUACAGCCACGGGGACGCCUUGCACAUUUCCUGUGGGACAUGCUGGACCCAAGACUCUGGACCCUGGCCUCCCCUUGAGUAGAGAGACCCACCUACUGACUGAUGAACUGCGCUGACCCUGGGGUCAGGCAUGUGGCCUUGAUCCCUACCCAUGGACCCUGAGACUUGGGGGGGUGGGAGAAAGGCUGUUGUGUCUUCACUGUUGAGUCUACAUCUGUGAAAUGGGCUCAGGUUCCUACCUCACAGGGCUGUUGUGAGGCAGCCGCAAUGUGCUUAGAAGCAUGGGGCCUAGUGGCUCAUGGUGCUUUCAAUAAAUUUCUUGUUUUAACUAAA